CUGCACCAGAUACUAACCUGCCUGUCUGCCCUGCAGUUUCUUUUAAACUGUCCAGUGCUGUGCGAUUGCUGGGUCACUCGGAUGCAAUAUCGUCACUCGCCGUGAGAUUUAAGCUAAGAGUGCAGAGAGGACACCCUGCGUUAUAACUCGGAGGCACAAAC